rnacentral:rRNA from 1 species
CAGCCGCCACGGUAAUACGUAGGUGGCAAGCGUUGUCCGGAAUUAUUGGGCGUAAAGGGCUCGCAGGCGGUUUCUUAAGUCUGAUGUGAAAGCCCCCGGCUCAACCGGGGAGGGUCAUUGGAAACUGGGAAACUUGAGUGCAGAAGAGGAGAGUGGAAUUCCACGUGUAGCGGUGAAAUGCGUAGAGAUGUGGAGGAACACCAGUGGCGAAGGCGACUCUCUGGUCUGUAACUGACGCUGAGGAGCGAAAGCGUGGGGGGCGAACAGGAUUAGAGACCCGCGUAGUCCCUGUCUCUUAUAC